AAGUCGUAACAAGGUUUCCGUAGGUGAACCUGCGGAAGGAUCAUUAACACGUGUAUUCCACGUAUACUAACUUUCAACUAACCGUACUACGAACUUUCCCUGGUCGAACCAACUUCUUAGCUGCCUCAGUAUGAUUCUGAUGGGUAAGGGUCUUCGGACUCUGAUCACAUCAUACAGAAGCUGUCACUCCGGUCUUCGGAUUAGAGAGUGUGGCGGUAACCGGUUUGGCUGGGCUUUACAUUCCUGCAUAUGUGUUCCAACCAUCUUCGAGCAUAUGUGGGGAGCCCCCCUUUGUAUUCACCAUAUUUAACCCUAUUUGGCUAAUGUUUGGAUUACGGAUUGGCUUGGAGCUUGCUUCAGGUCUUUUGUCGGAUCCUACUAAGAUUUAUCUUAACUAAGUACAACUCUAGCAAUGGAUAUCUUGGUUCUC
rnacentral:misc_RNA from 1 species